GGAGUCGGACAGGGUAUCGCCGCGGUCUUUGAUCGGGGAGGAAAGUCCGGGCUUCACAGGGUAGGACGCUGGGUAACUCCCAGGGGGAGCGAUCCCCGUCACGUGCAACAGAAAGUAGACCGCCUCCGGCAUUGCCGGCGGUAAGGGUGAAACGGUGGGGUAAGAGCCUACCGGCUGUCGUGGUGACACGGCAGGCCAGGUGUACUCCGUCCGAAGCAAAACCAAAUAGGACAGCGCUGUAGAUCGACCCGAUCGAGCUGUCGGGUAGGUUGCUCGAACCGGCUGGUAACAGUCGGUCUAGAUGAAUGAUACUCACCCCGAAAGGGGGACAAAACCCGGCUUAUGACCGGCUCCAACU
rnacentral:RNase_P_RNA from 1 species